rnacentral:rRNA from 1 species
UACGUAGGGGGCAAGCGUUGUCCGGAUUUAUUGGGCGUAAAGAGCGUGUAGGCGGCCUGACAGGUCUGCUGUGAAAACUCGAGGCUCAACCUCGAGAUGUCGGCGGAAACCGUCUGGCUAGAGUCCGGAAGAGGAGAGUGGAAUUCCUGGUGUAGCGGUGAAAUGCGCAGAUAUCAGGAGGAACGCCGGUGGCGAAGGCGGGUCUCUGGGCAGUAACUGACGCUGAGGAGCGAAAGCGUGGGGAGCGAACAGG